rnacentral:rRNA from 1 species
UACGUAGGUGGCGAGCGUUGUCCGGAUUUACUGGGCGUAAAGAGCGCGCAGGCGGUCGUACAAGUCGCGUGUGAAAGCCCCCGGCUCAACUGGGGAGGGUCACGCGAUACUGUUCGACUCGAAGGCAGGAGAGGGAAGUGGAAUUCCCGGUGUAGUGGUGAAAUGCGUAGAUAUCGGGAGGAACACCAGUGGCGAAGGCGGCGACCUGGUCCGAUACUGACGCUGAGGCGCGAAAGCGUGGGGAGCAAACAGG